rnacentral:rRNA from 1 species
CCUACGGGGGGCUGCAGUGGGGAAUAUUGGACAAUGGGCGAAAGCCUGAUCCAGCCAUGCCGCGUGUGUGAGGAAGGCCUUCGGGUUGUAAAGCACUUUCAGUGGGGAAGAAAGCCUUGGGGCUAAUACCCUCGAGGAAGGACAUCACCCACAGAAGAAGCACCGGCUAACUCCGUGCCAGCAGCCGCGGUAAUACGGAGGGUGCGAGCGUUAAUCGGAAUUACUGGGCGUAAAGCGCGCGUAGGCGGUCUGAUAAGCCGGUUGUGAAAGCCCCGGGCUCAACCUGGGAACGGCAUCCGGAACUGUCAGGCUAGAGUGCAGGAGAGGAAGGUAGAAUUCCCGGUGUAGCGGUGAAAUGCGUAGAGAUCGGGAGGAAUACCAGUGGCGAAGGCGGCCUUCUGGACUGACACUGACGCUGAGGUGCGAAAGCGUGGGUAGCAAACAGGAUUAGAUACCCCAGUAGUC